UGCAUAUGGGACGCAGACAGGGAAGUUGACUGCCUGUGCAUAGGUACAGUGUAGGUCACUGUGUCUUUUCACCUGCUUGGGUGCCCCCAGGUGAUGGAGAGCUCAGGAAAUCAGGUCUUCAGGCUUGUUACUGGCAAUUCAGCCACCUCCUCAAGCCCUGCCGACACCAGGUUUAAAUUCAGACAGUGGCAGGCACUCGAAGCCAGUGAGGCCCCUGGGAUGAUUCCUCGUGAAAUGAAGGCGUUCGUGGUCAGCCGUGGUGAAGAAGUGUCAGGGCUUGCAAAGGGGGCUGAGUACUCAGGCAGACCUGUGUCAUACCCCUAGCUCCACCACUAAUUAGCUGCAUACCCCUAAUGAAGUUCUUUAACCUCUCUAAACCUCAGUCUCCCAUCUUUAAAACAGGAGUUGUAACGCUCCCCUCGCAGAAUGGCAUUGAAGAUUAAGUUAGAUAAAGUGGUCAGGCCACUCAAGAUGACUGUUUUCAUGCUCUGUGUGCAUUCCUGGCUCUACCAGCAUCUGCUUCACCUACACCCUACUCAAAUGACUGGCCUUCCCCUAUACCUGCCCCAGCCACUGAUCCUUCUAACCUUUAGAUCAGAAUAUCUUCACCUGUUGGCUUAUUAAAGGAGUGGUGAGGGGCCUGCCCCUCUGCUGAUCUCCCUGGUAACUGAUGAGCCAACCUGAAGUAAUUCUCUCAAUAACUAGUAACCUCCCCUUCCCCCAGAAGUCAUGAAGACUGCUGCCCUGUCCUGCCGUCAUCUGCCGCACCCUCUGGGUGUCGCUUCAGAACCUGGCUUCAGACGUGGCCGUCAGCUGCCUGAGAUUCAGAUUACAGAUGCCACAUCACCAGCCCCCAAAGCACCAGCCUGGGACCUUUGUCCAUCAUCCAUGUCACCCAGUCAUCGGGUAGAAGGAAAAAGACAAGCAUAUUUGCCAAUUUAUCCAAGUCUUCUAGGCCGCUGGGGACAUUUCCAGAUACCCCUUGAUUCUGGUCUUGUGAAACUUUCCAGAAAGAUGGCUGAGGCUGGCUUUCCUCCCUGCAGCCUGAGCUCUCAAUCUGGCACAGUGUCUGCUACCAUCUCUCCUCCAGGGCAUGUUCUUGUGUCUGGAGGAGUGAGAGGUGCAUCAGAAGAACCAAGACCAGCCACAGCGAAACACAGCAGCCCUCCCCUGGUCUGCCAGAGCAAUAAGCCAAGUUUGUUUGGCUCCAGACUGUCCAGUUUUGCCCACCCAUUGGGGGCUUUGCUGGGGGGAGGGCAGAGCUGGGCUACUGUAGGAGAGAGUGCAUUCAUUCACAAGUCAAUAGAGGACAUUCCCUGGAUGCUGGGGCCAGAGCUAAGCACUGGUGCAAAGGUGUGAGAGACAAUGUCUUCUCAAGGAGAGUAUGGAGCUUCUUCCUUGUGGAAGAAGAAGCCCUCAGACUCUGGGCCUAUGCACCACAUCCACCUCAGCCCCUUCUCCUCACUCUGUCAGCCUUUCUCCUCUGGACCUUUCCAGUCUAAGUGCCUCCAACUGCCAAGGGGUGUAGGUU
ensembl:lncRNA